AGCGAACGCUGGCGGCAGGCCUAACACAUGCAAGUCGAACGGAUCCUUCGGGAUUAGUGGCGGACGGGUGAGUAACACGUGGGAACGUGCCCUUUGGUUCGGAACAACUCAGGGAAACUUGAGCUAAUACCGGAUGUGCCCUUCGGGGGAAAGAUUUAUCGCCACUGAAGCGGCCCGCGUCUGAUUAGCUAGUUGGUGAGGUAACGGCCCACCAAGGCGACGAUCAGUAGCUGGUCUGAGAGGAUGAUCAGCCACACUGGGACUGAGACACGGCCCAGACUCCUACGGGAGGCAGCAGUGGGGAAUCUUGCGCAAUGGGCGAAAGCCUGACGCAGCCAUGCCGCGUGAAUGAUGAAGGUCUUAGGAUUGUAAAAUUCUUUCAGCGGGGACGAUAAUGACGGUACCCGCAGAAGAAGCUCCGGCUAACUUCGUG
rnacentral:rRNA from 1 species